rnacentral:rRNA from 1 species
CCUACGGGAGGCAGCAGUAGGGAAUCUUCCACAAUGGGCGCAAGCCUGAGGGAGCAACACCGCGUGAGUGAAGAAGGGUUUCGGCUCGUAAAGCUCUGUUGUUGGAGAAGAACGUGCGUGAGAGUAACUGUUCACGCAGUGACGGUAUCCAACCAGAAAGGCACGGCUAACUACGUGCCAGCAGCCGCGGUAAUACGUAGGUGGCAAGCGUUAUCCGGCUUUAUUGGGCGUAAAGCGAGCGUAGGCGGUUGCUUAGGUCUGAUGUGAAAGCCUUCGGCUUAACCGAAGAAGUGCAUCGGAAACCGGGCGACUUGAGUGCAGAAGAGGACAGUGGAACUCCAUGUGUAGCGGUGGAAUGCGUAGAUAUAUGGAAGAACACCAGUGGCGAAGGCGGCUGUCUGGCCUGCAACUGACGCUCAGUCCCGAAAGCGUGGGGAGCAAAUAGGAUUAGAUACCCGUGUAGUC